rnacentral:rRNA from 1 species
GAAUUUUGGACAAUGGGGGCAACCCUGAUCCAGCAAUGCCGCGUGUGUGAAGAAGGCCUUCGGGUUGUAAAGCACUUUUGUCCGGAAAGAAAUCCCCUGGGACAAUACCCCGGGGGGAUGACGGUACCGGAAGAAUAAGCACCGGCUAACUACGUGCCAGCCGCCGCGGUAAUACGUAGGGUGCGAGCGUUAAUCGGAAUUACUGGGCGUAAAGCGUGCGCAGGCGGUUGUGCAAGACAGGUGUGAAAUCCCCGGGCUUAACCUGGGAACUGCAUUUGUGACUGCACGGCUAGAGUGUGUCAGAGGGGGGUAGAAUUCCACGUGUAGCAGUGAAAUGCGUAGAUAUGUGGAGGAAUACCGAUGGCGAAGGCAGCCCCCUGGGAUAACACUGACGCUCAUGCACGAAAGCGUGGGGAGCAAACAGG